rnacentral:rRNA from 1 species
CUACGGGAGGCAGCAGUGGGGAAUAUUGCACAAUGGGCUCAAGCCUGAUGCAGCCAUGCCGCGUGUAUGAAGAAGGCCUUCGGGUUGUAAAGUACUUUCAGUAAGGAGGAAGGUGGAGUAGUUAAUAGCUGCUUUAUUUGACGUUACUUACAGAAGAAGCACCGGCUAACUCCGUGCCAGCAGCCGCGGUAAUACGGAGGGUGCGAGCGUUAAUCGGAAUUACUGGGCGUAAAGCGCAUGCAGGUGGUCUGUUAAGUCAGAUGUGAAAGCCCCGGGCUCAACCCGGGAUGGUCAUUUGAACUGGCAGGCUAGAGUACUGUAGAGGGGGGUAGAAUUUCAGGUGUAGCGGUGAAAUGCGUAGAGAUCUGAAGGAAUACCGGUGGCGAAGGCGGCCCCCUGGACAGAUACUGACACUCAGAUGCGAAAGCGUGGGGAGCAAACAGGAUUAGAUACCCCCGUAGUC